AAUCUGGAGGACUUGGCAAGCAAUGUGAUAAAAACUGCUGAACACAAGUCACAUGGAAGUUCAUUGGAUGUAGCUAAAGAUGGUCUUGAAGAAGCAAGUAACUCCAACAUUUCAGCGAAGGUGCAAGAAAGCAAUGAUAAAGCAAAACGAAGGCCUAGGAAGUACAAAAAGACAAUAGUGGUAAAUCAACCCAUAAUCACCCGGGACAGGGCAAAGAAAUUAUCGAUUGUCUCACCAGAAUCACUGAAUAUCAAAAGAUCAAGAUCAGGGCGACUACUUCUUCCUGUACUAGCUAACUGGCGGAAUGAGCAACCAAUUUAUGAUCUGGAUGGUACUAUUACUGGAAUCACCUUGGAUGUCGACCGUGCACUGCCCCCUACAGGUAGUAAAUCAGAGCCAGCAAAAAAGAGAAAGAAGCAGAAAUGAGUGCCGUAUGUCACAAGAGAUGUGUAAAUGGUCGCAAAAUGAAGAUUUGGUGGUUGUAGAUUUCUAUAUUGCUAAACUAGUAGUAUUUUGAGCUAAUAGUUUGACAGGGUCCAGCUUUCAGUAAAACAGGAGAGCAGUUUCUUUUGGGACUUGAAAGGUCUUAGUUUGGCUCUUUGGAGGUAUGUAUUAUAUUGAGUGGAAGUUGUGUUUCACUUCAGAAAUGUCUAGUUUGGCCAUCUGAAGUUAUAGAUAAAAGAGAAAUGAUUUAA